rnacentral:misc_RNA from 1 species
GAUAAGAACGCAGCGAAAUGCGAUAAGUAGUGUGAAUUGCAGAAUUCAGUGAAUCAUCGAAUCUUUGAACGCACAUUGCGCCCUUUGGUAUUCCUUAGGGCAUGCCUGUUCGAGCGUCAUUUCAACCCUCAAGCCCUGCUUGGUGUUGGGCGUUUGUCCUGCCUCCGCGCGGGACUCGCCUCAAAGACAUUGGCGGCCGGUUUCCCUUUGCAGGCCACGAGCGCAGCACAGCGAGCGCUCUACGUGGACGCGGGGUCGGCGCACCAGAAGCCCUCUUUCUCGAAUUUUGACCUCGGAUCAGGUAGGGAUACCCGCUGAACUUAAGCAUAUCAAUAAGCGGAGGA